CCUACGGGAGGCAGCAGUGGGGAAUAUUGCACCAUGGGGGAAACCCUGAUGCAGCGACGCCGCGUGAAUGAUGAAGGUCUUCGGAUUGUAAAGUUCUUUUCUAAGGGAAGAAGAAAGUGACGGUACCUUAGGAAUAAGCCUCGGCUAACUACGUGCCAGCAGCCGCGGUAAUACGUAGGAGGCAAGCGUUAUCCGGAAUGACUGGGCGUAAAGGGUGCGUAGGUGGUUUGAUAAGUUGGUAGCGUAACUCCGAGGCUCAACCUCGGCACUACUACCAAAACUGUCGGACUUGAGUGCAGGAGGGACAACUGGAAUUCCUAGUGUAGCGGUGGAAUGCGUAGAUAUUAGGAGGAACACCAGUGGCGAAGGCGAGUUGCUGGACUGUAACUGACACUGAGGCACGAAAGCGUGGGGAGCAAACAGGAUUAGAUACCCUAGUAGUC
rnacentral:rRNA from 1 species